GGUUGCCUCAGAAGGAAGGAUCCAGGCUCGGGAUGAACCCAUCCCCCGGCCGCACCUGCCCGGUGGGACAAGAUCCAGAAAAAAUCCUUCCCCUGCUCCGGCCGCGCACCCGGCAGGAGCCGCGGCCUCCCCGCCCCAUCCCUGCCCCGCCAGGAUUUUGGGAAGGGGAGGAUCAGCUCCGUGCCAUGGCAGCGACCCGAGCCGCCGGGUGACGGGCAGAGGAGGUGGCUGAGGAUGCGAGGAUGGGAAAUCCAUGCUCGGGAUGCUCCCGCCUCGCACAUCGUCCCCUCUCCAUCACCCCGGAGCUGCAAACCAGUUUAUACAUCACCCGGCUCCAGCGCUACCAGAGCUCCUGUUGAAUAUCCCAGCGGAGAGGAGAAAUUCCUGCUGGGAGUUCUCUCCGGCGUCACCCUCGGGAGGGGGGACGGAGGGCGGGCAAAGUUCGGCUCCUAUAAAGUCAGGUCUGGUCCUCUUCAUUCAUUCCCCUGGCAGCACCGCCGGCAGCAGCACGUCCAGCCUUUGCAGAAAAUCUGGGAGCAGCAAAUCCUGCCCCGAAGCCGGCGGAUUUCUGCAGGGUGCCGAGGAGAGCGAUGCCGAAGGCGCUGCGCGGCGUCGGGGCCGCCCUCACCUGCCUGCAGCUCCUGCUGCUCCCCUCGGCCGUGGAUUCCCGGCCCCGCACGUGGGACCAGGACAGGUUCCAGCUGGAAGCCGUCAAAAAGGAGAUCCUGGAGCGGCUGGGAAUGCCGGCUCCCCCCGUCAUCCGGCGCCAGCUGGACCAGGAGAGCAUCCAGAGAGCGCAGCGCCUCUACCAGCGCAAAGUGGCGGAGCUGGCGGGGAACCGGAGCCGGGAGGAGGAGGAAGAGGAGGAAGCCGUGACCAGGACCCGGCGGCUGCACCGCCUGACCCCCACCUGUGAGUGGCCGUGGCUCCGUGUCACCCCCCGAGCCUCGUCCCACGGGACACGCGUGUGUCGCAGCGCGUCCCCGCCUCGGGAAUGUCACCCCGCUGCAGGGGACAUGACCGGGCAUGCAGCACGGUGGCCACGCUCAUCCUUAUCCCGCUCCUUCCUUCGCCCUGGAAGUGGGGAGGAGCCGCAGCUGGAGCCGUUUUGCUUAAAACCACAAAAAAAAAAAAAAUAUCAGGGGAAUUGAGAUAAAAGCUUUGAUUUGGGGGUGAGCGGGAGGAGGAAGGGAGGUGCCAUCCUCCAAUCCCCAGCUUGAGCUCCAGUUUGAGGGUUUAUCUGCAUGGGGGAGGGGUUUAAAUAAUUAAAUAAGCGAAUUAAUAUUAAAAUUUAAAUUCAAUAAUUGAAAUAAUCCCCUUUGGGCUGGGUGGGGACAGCCGGGGGCUGGGUGGGGGUGCUCCAAUGGGUCCUGGGACGCCUUCUCUGGCACCAGGAAAACUGAGAACCUCCAGCCUGGGAGUCCCUGGAGAUGCUGGCUCUGAGGACGAGCCUAGCAAAGCAUUUCCCGCAUCCCUGAGGAUGUGGGUGAUUCCCUGGAAGCAAAAGCUCGGCUGCCUGGCCGGAGCUGAUCCCAAACCGGGGCUGAUGAGGAAUUACAGACUCUUACAUCAGCUGUCACCUCUGUCCCCGCAGUGUUGCGCUGGCUGGUCAUCCCCGAGGGACAUCGGGACUCUCA
rnacentral:lncRNA from 1 species